GACGGAAGGUGCAAGCGUUGCUCGGAAUCACUGGGCGUAAAGGGUGCGUAGGCGGCCGUGCAAGUCUGGCGUGAAAGCCCCGGGCUCAGCCCGGGAAGUGCGCUCGAAACUGCGCGGCUCGAGUGCCGGAGGGGAGAGUGGAAUUCCUGGUGUAGCGGUGAAAUGCGCAGAUAUCAGGAAGAACACCCGUGGCUAAGGCGGUUCUCUAGUACGGUACUGACGCUGAGACGCGAAAGCGUGGGGAGCGAACAGG
rnacentral:rRNA from 1 species